UAGUGGUUCCGCGCCGACAAUGUAGCGGGGCUCAAGCACACCACCGAAGACGCGGCAGUAUUUUGUACUGGGUAGGAGAGCGUCCCAUGAGGGGCGAAGCGGCCGUGUGAACGCGCCGUGGACUUCAUGGGAGUGAGAAUGCAGACAUGAGUAGCGAAAGACGGGUGAAGAUCCCGUCCGCUGGAUGACCAAGGGUUCCAGGGCCACGUUCAUCGUCCCUGGGUGAGUCGGGUCCUAAGGCGAGGCCGACAGGCGUAGUCGAAUGGAUGAACGGGUCGAUAUUCCCGUACCGGCUUUCAGCCGCCAGAACCGAGGCUUGGAGUACUAACCUCCGGGUCCGGGCUUGCUUCCCCUUCGGGGGUGGGAUGCCUGGGCCUGUUGGGACCGAUCCUUGUAGUAGGUCAGCGCAGGAGUGACGCAGAAGGGUAGCCGGCCGCGGAGGUGGUUUUCCGUGGUCAAGCACGCAGCCCGUCCCGUAGGCAAAUCCGCGGGGCGUGUGGGCGAGGUGCGAUGGUGGGGGCCUUGUGGCCCGAUAUCCGGUGAUCCCGGCUGCCGAGAAAAGCUUCGGCGUGAGGCUCGAAGCCGCCCGUACCCCAAACCGACACUGGUGGUCAGGUAGAGAAUACCAAAGCGAUCGAGCGAAUCCUGGUCAAGGAACUCGGCAAAUCACUCCCGUUCCUUCGGUUUAAGGGAGACCCCCGAUGGUGAGCCGCCUCGCGCGGGGAGCUUUUGGGGGUGGCACAGACCAGGGGGUAGCGACUGUUUACCAAAAACACAGGUGCAUGCGAAGGCGCAAGCCGCUGUAUAUGCACUGACGCCUGCCCGGUGCCGGAAGGUUAAGAGGAUCCGUCAGCCUUCGGGUGAAGCGGUGAAUUCAAGCCCCGGUAAACGGCGG
rnacentral:rRNA from 1 species